rnacentral:rRNA from 1 species
CAGUCGCCGCGGGAAUACGAAGGGUGCAAGCGUUAAUCGGAAUUACUGGGCGUAAAGCGUGCGUAGGCGGUUUGUUAAGUCUGUUGUGAAAUCCCCGGGCUCAACCUGGGAAUGGCAAUGGAUACUGGCAAGCUAGAGUGUGUCAGAGGAUGGUGGAAUUCCCGGUGUAGCGGUGAAAUGCGUAGAGAUCGGGAGGAACAUCAGUGGCGAAGGCGGCCAUCUGGGACUACACUGACGCUGAGGCACGAAAGCGUGGGGAGCAAACAGGAUUAGAUACCCCCGUAGUCCCUGUCUCUUAUAC